CAAGUGCCGUAGCCUAGAGACGCUAUACAGACAUACUCUGUACCAUGGUCGCAAAAUUAGCCUUCUUCAACCCCGACCCCGAGCAGCACAAAGAGCGUUGCCGCCAGGCCGCUGCUCCGCGCUACUCUCCCUUGGCUGGAAUCACGAGGGGGCUCCUCACGAUGUAGUCGUCGGAGACCCACUUGAGGUUGCCCUCGGCGCCGGCGACGUUGGGCUGGCCGGCCCACCGCACCGUCACCGUGAAGCUCUGCUUCUCGUCCAGCGCCGUGAACCGGAGCGUCGGCGGCUGCACGGUCACCGACACGUCCUUGGGCAUGUCCACCACCGCGGUGUACACGGAGCUCGCCUUCCCCACGUUGGUCACCGUGCGGUUCACCGCGAUGGGCUGGGCCAGCAGGUUGACGAUGAGGGACGGGUAGUUCAGCUCGGCUUCGGUGACGGCCCUGAGGCCGCCGCAGGCGACGGGGCGGUGGGCGAUCUCCGUGACGCCGUCGUCGCCCAGCCCCAGCCCGCAGAGGUAGGGGAUGUAGUCGUCGGCGCGGAGGUCGUAGACCAGGCCCGGGUCGAAUGCGAGCGCCGGGUUCACGUAGCCCGCGCCCAGGGCGUAGAAGGUGGCGUGCCGGUACUGCUCGUCCUUGAUGGGCAGCCCCGUGCGGUCCACCGCGUCGGACGUCGUCAUCAUCGCCGACUUGAUCGCCGCGGGCGACCAGUCCGGGUGCAGGCUCUUGAGGAGCGCGGCGACGCCGCUCAGGUGCGGCGUCGACAUGGACGUCCCGGACUCGACGAAGAAGGACAGGUCGGCCCCGCCGUCGGAGAACUCCGUGUGCGAGUCGCUCGGCGCCCACGCCGCGAGGAUGUUCAUUCCGGGCCCCGUGAUGUCCGGCUUCAGGAUCCCCGGGCUCGCCUUGCUCGGCCCGCGGGACGAGAAGAAGGUGACCGCCGGCGACGGGUACGAGCCGAUAAUCGUCCCCUUGAAGUCGAUGCUCGCCGUCCCGUUGGCCGUGGAGUUCAAGUAGGCCAGGAUCUUGGACCCGGACUCGUAGCUGACGUGCGAAGCCGGGAGGACGUGCGCGUCGGCGAAGGUGGUGUACCCCUCCGCCUCCUUGUUCAUGACGAUCAUGCCCACGCCGCCGUACGCCGCCACGGUCUGGCCCGCCUCGACGCGGUCGCUCAGGCCCCUGCUCUCGCACAGCACCACCUUGCCAGCCACCUCGGCGCCGCGCAGCACGCUGCAGUCGCGGCUCGCGUCGAAGCCGUCCGCGCCGGGGUACACCAGCGGGACCGGGUCCGCGGCGGAGUUGUUCCUCGGCUGGAACAGGGACUCGCCGUGGAACUCCUCGCCGUUGCCGAGCUUGACAUUGGUCCGUAUCGCGCGGUCCAUGGUGCCCGCCGCGACGGUGAGCAUCCACGGCGCGCCGUUGCCGACCGUGCCGGGCUCUGGCCCCGCGUUGCCCGCGGCGCAGCUGACGAAGAUGCCUCGCUCCGUGGCCUUGAACGCCGCGAUGGCGAUGGGGUCGUAGUUGAACUGCGUGCCCGAGUAGGCGCCGAUGGAGAAGGACAGCACGUCGACGCCGUCCUUGACGGCGGCGUCCAGCCCGGCGAUGAUGUCCAUGAUGGAGCAGCGGCUGCGCGUGCACACCUUGUAGAUGGAGAGGUGCGCGUGCGGCGCCAUCCCGGACGCCGUGCCGUCCGCGUUGCCCCUGAUGUUGGCGUUCUCCACGAAGUUGCCGGCGGCCGUGCUGGCCGUGUGCGUGCCGUGGCCCGCGUCGUCGACGGGCGGCGCCGUCGAGUUCACCGCCGCGCUCCCGAACGCGCGCGCCCCGAUGAUCUUGUUGUUGCAUCCGCCCCCGGCGAUGCUCUUGAACUCGCAGGUCCCCUUCCACCCCUUGGGCGGCGGCUGGAGCCCGUCGUCGCCGAAGGACGGGUGGCUGGGCAGGAUCCCCGUGUCCAGGAUCCCAAUCACCACCCCGCGCCCGAAUCCGGAGCGGCUCCAGAAGCCCUCGUUCCCCAGGUGGAGGCCGAGGAAGCCCGGCGAGCGGGUGGUGGCGAGCGGCAGGAACACCUCCGGGUACAGCCGCACGCACCCGUCCGUGGCCCUCAGCGCCUCUGCCUCCUCGUCCGUGAGCCGCGCGGCGAAGCCGGUGAAGACGUCGCUAUAGGAGUAUAUGAUCUGCGGGCCUUCGUCGGCCGUGGAGUCCAGCCCUGCCGCCGCCUGCUGCAGGAACGAGCGGUGCCACCCGUCGACGGAGCCGUCGGUGGCUUCCCGGGGCCGGAGGUGCACGAUGUAGUUCUUCCUCUCCUGCAGGAACGCCGCGCCGCGGAGAGCAAGGGACAGGAGCAGCAGCAGGGUGGCGCGACACCACCGUGACUUGUUCAUCCCCAUCAGCGGAGGCGGCGCGGCGCCACAGAUGCUAGGCGGUCGCCGGUAGCUUGCGGGGCAAUGUGUAUGCGGGCGAAGGGCAGAAGGGGAGUGAGGGUGGGGCGUGGCCGUGGGUGGCGGCGACGAGGCGAUCUGCGGGAGUUUUUAUGAGGCUGCUGCGAGGUGUGUGUGUGUGUGUGUGGGAGUGGAGCGACGGGCGCACAGUGGCACUGGCAGUGAGCUGGAGGGUAGAGGGCCCUGGUUUUAACUUUUAAAUGAUGGGAAAAACCAAAAACGCAUCGGCGUGGGGGCGGGCGUACCCGGUGUCCGUCCGGCGUUCCUCCGGACCCUCGCCAUGGAUUGGGAUUGCACCUUGCGGAUGCGCCUGCGGUUCGUGUCACGGCUGUGCGUGUCUGUGCCAGGUCUCUCCGGGCUCGUGAUGGCUGCUGGCUGGAUCGG
rnacentral:misc_RNA from 1 species